ACUCCGCUGACCCACGACACGGGAAACCGCAGAGGAUUAGGAGCGCUGUCCGUGGCUGCUUAGGCAAGAGUCAGACAUGGAACUAUGAGAAGGCGCUAGCUUUGGGAAUUACACAACAGCUUUGGGACUUGCUCUGCUCCAGGGGACACUGAUGAUAAAGAAGAAAAACAUCUGGAGGAUUACGUGAGAUUUAACCCAGGCGUGACAGCGGGAUCCCCGGGCUCGUCAGCAGACAGUCACACCGCUGAAGCAAGGCAGCUCACCUGUCUGGUUGUAAUGCAUCCAGUUCAGGAUGACUUCUGGGGCUCUGUACCAGCGCGUAACCACGUAGCCAGUCAUUUCAGCAUCAGUGUGUCUGGCCAAGCCAAAAUCCAAGAUCUGCAGUUCACCAAAGGAAAAGGGAGAAGGAAGGGCAGGAAAGGAAAGAAAAGAAAUCCUACGGACAAGUGAGAAUCUACUUCUAAGAGGAAACGAAGAAGAUCAGAUCAGAUAAUAAUGAAGCUCCAACUACACUACAGCCACCCACGGGACGGUUCAAAGAACUAACAGGUUUGUCUUAAUUCCACUGUAAAUUGCAAGCUGGCUGAAAAACCAGUUGUUGUGCGAAGACCCUGUCGAAAGGAUCAGGGCUGUGUGCCACCCGGAAGGUCAUUUCCUCUCUUGAAGCUUAAGUUUCAACUCUAUGAACUUUAUUUAAUUGAGUUGUUCUACAACCUGGCGGUGAAGGCGUGCUCCCAGGCCACCACGACUCACCCUUUCCUAUAAAAACACCUUGCAGCUGGCAGGGAAUGGCCUCUCCCUCAAUACUGGAGAUGAGCAUAGCUUGACCCAACCUUUUCAGGCAAUGGAGCCAUUCCCUGUAAUAUACAUGACAGAAAACACGUGCUAGAGCACCGCAGCAGCGAGCUGCGAGCAAACCCUCAGAGCAAUACUGAAAAUAACUUUGGAAUCACAACCAGCACGUCAAAGAGAACCAAAGGCUAACUGUGGUCGAAUCCAGUUAUCCUUCAGGGAUCGUUCACCUAACGCAAGUAUUGCUCAGCAGCAUUGUAUUUGUUUAGGGAGUCGUUACGAACUGCCGUGCCGCAGGAAUUACGACGACAGGAUGUUCAUUCCAAGCCUCGGGCCCUGAUUCAGCAAGUUACAUCAACUGGUGAGUAUUUCCCACUGCCUGCAACCACCAAGUAAUGAAACGCCUUCAAUCGUGUCUCGGAAGGCAAGAGGAAACAUGACGAUGCCAAAUUCCUGCUGGCAGAGCACGAUCUGCUAUGCUACACGCUACAGAGUGGUGCUUUUCCACCUACCUUUAGCUGACAGUCUUCGUUCACAGCCAGGUUGCCUGGCUUCAGGUCCUGCAACAGACAAGAGCAGGAGAAUAAGGAUGUUUUAAUUGCAACUCAUCAACACGAGCCUCGGCCAAACCUCGGCUUGCCUUUGUUGGGAUCCCAUAACACCCCAAGUCCAGCAUUAAUGCAGCAGAGACACUGUGCCUGCUAUAUCGCACUGCUUCAGAUUACUAUUUUAUUUUUUCUGAAACAGCUUUAAUUCAAAAAACAUCAUAAAAUGCUUCACAGCUUGUCAGAAGGUACCGCAUUUCCUCAAAAUGCUGCACAAAUGAGCAACUCCAAACACACGCAGAGUGUAGGAGGGAAAAGAGGGAGACCUUAGAGCAGACGAGGCUAUUAGUGAAAAGAAGCGGAGGAAUUUAUUAACUUUACAACCAAGCUGCGU